CAUGGCUCAGAGUGAACGCUGGCGGUAGGCCUAACACAUGCAAGUCGAACGGCAGCACAGUAAGAGCUUGCUCUUAUGGGUGGCGAGUGGCGGACGGGUGAGGAAUACAUCGGAAUCUACCUUUUCGUGGGGGAUAACGUAGGGAAACUUACGCUAAUACCGCAUACGACCUUCGGGUGAAAGCAGGGGACCUUCGGGCCUUGCGCGGAUAGAUGAGCCGAUGUCGGAUUAGCUAGUUGGCGGGGUAAAGGCCCACCAAGGCGACGAUCCGUAGCUGGUCUGAGAGGAUGAUCAGCCACACUGGAACUGAGACACGGUCCAGACUCCUACGG
rnacentral:rRNA from 1 species